ACACACACACACACACACACUAGGCUAGCAUUAGCCUAUUAGCUCAGUUCCCAGUAAAAUGGUUGCACUCAGGUUCCGCUCUCAGUCC